UACGUAGGGGGCAAGCGUUGUCCGGAUUUAUUGGGCGUAAAGAGCGUGUAGGCGGCCAUACAGGUCUGCUGUGAAAACUCGAGGCUCAACCUCGAGCUGUCGGUGGAAACCGUAUGGCUAGAGUCCGGAAGAGGAGAGUGGAAUUCCCGGUGUAGCGGUGAAAUGCGCAGAUAUCGGGAAGAACACCCGUGGCUAAGGCGGCUCUCUAGUACGGUACUGACGCUGAGACGCGAAAGCGUGGGGAGCGAACAGG
rnacentral:rRNA from 1 species